AGAGGGUUAACCGAAUGAGACGCUUUGGCUUGAUUAAUUCUCCAGCCAUCGUUCAGAGAUUAACAGGAGAACUCGGAACACCUACACAAUGUUGUCUCCAGUAUGAGAGAAGCUGGUCUCACGAUUCCACGAACAAGAUGCAGCUUGCAUCGUCCACGAUUCGCCUCCUUGGCUAUCAGAUAACCAACAGCACCAUCCCGGUCCCCAAGAGCACCACGCGGCAACACCGCUUCUUGGAGCCCUCAAAGAUUACAUUCAACCAGCGUCAUAUGUGCAACAGUGCAUUCGUUUUCUCAGUCCUGAGUAAG